rnacentral:rRNA from 1 species
CCAUCAUAAGGGGAUAACACUUGGAAACAGGUGCUAAUACCGUAUAACAAUCGAAACCGCAUGGUUUCGUUUUGAAAGGCGCUUUACGGUGCCACUGAUGGAUGGACCCGCGGUGCAUUAGCUAGUUGGUGAGGUAACGGCUCACCAAGGCCACGAUGCAUAGCCCACCUGAGAGGGUGAUCGGCCACAUUGGGACUGAGACACGGCCCAAACUCCUACGGGAGGCAGCAGUAGGGAAUCUUCGGCAAUGGACGAAAGUCUGACCGAGCAACGCCGCGUGAGUGAAGAAGGUUUUCGGAUCAUAAAACUCUGUUGUUAGAGAAGAACAAGGGUGAGAGUAACUGUUCACCCCUUGACGGUAUCUAACCAGAGAGCCACGGCUAACUACAUGCCAGCAGCCGCGGUAAUACGUAGGUGGCAAGCGUUGUCCGGAUUUAUUGGGCGUAAAGCGAGCGCAAGCGGUUUCUUAAGUCUGAUGUGAAAGCCCCCGGCUCAACCGGGGAGGGUCAUUGGAAACUGGGAGACUUGAGUGCAGAAGAGGAGAGUGGAAUUCCAUGUGUAGCGGUGAGAUGCGUACAUAUAUGGAAGGAACACCCGUGGCGAAAGCGGCUCUCUGGUCUGUAACUGACGCUGAGGCUCUAAAACGUGCGGAGCAAACAGGAUUAUAUACCCUGGUAUUCCACGCCGUAAACCAUGAGUGCUAAUUGUUGGAGGUUUUCCGC